rnacentral:tRNA from 1 species
GGGUCGUUAGCUCAAUUGGUAGAGCAGCUGCCUCUUAAGCAGCGGGUUCGGGGUUCAAGCCCCCGGCGACCCA